UGCAUUCUCAAGGGGCUAUGCAUCUACCUGAAUGAAGAUGAAUAUGAUGGAGUAUUUGGAUGAUGACCCUGUGAGAACCGAAGCGGACAUAAAGAAGACCUUUUAGGGAUUCUGUGAUGUAAAGCAUGAAUUUGCUGAUGCAACAGAAGACCCUGAAGAUAUCUGCAUUGUGCUGGAAGAUGUGGAGGUGCUUUCUGGUUUAGGUAAUGUAGCAUUGGCUACAGCCAUGCUACUUGGACUAAUAUACUCUUUAAAUCUUACUCAUCCAUAGGAGAUCCAUUACACUUUUAAGGUGCUCCAAAAAAUUAUUCUCGAGCUGAACUUGUGUAAAUUGUCUGCCAAAGCACAGGCGCAGAAAACAAAACUCUUCACUUGGGUGUGCUGUUUGAGGAUCCCUUUGUGAAUGCUGUGUUUUAUUUCCUUGUAUGCUCAUGUGUUUUUGUUGUAUCUGAAUUUUUGCAUGAUGAGCAGAGGUGAUUAAGUCUCUCAAUCACAUUUAAUAUCAUGUUUAAGAAAACAAAAUAAAAUAACAUUUUGUUAUAUU